rnacentral:rRNA from 1 species
AGUGAACGCUGGCGGUAGGCCUAACACAUGCAAGUCGAACGGCAGCACAGUAAGAGCUUGCUCUUACGGGUGGCGAGUGGCGGACGGGUGAGGAAUACAUCGGAAUCUACUUUUUCGUGGGGGAUAACGUAGGGAAACUUACGCUAAUACCGCAUACGACCUACGGGUGAAAGCAGGGGAUCUUCGGACCUUGCGCGAUUGAAUGAGCCGAUGUCGGAUUAGCUAGUUGGCGGGGUAAAGGCCCACCAAGGCGACGAUCCGUAGCUGGUCUGAGAGGAUGAUCAGCCACACUGGAACUGAGACACGGUCCAGACUCCUACGGGAGGCAGCAGUGGGGAAUAUUGGACAAUGGGCGCAAGCCUGAUCCAGCCAUACCGCGUGGGUGAAGAAGGCCUUCGGGUUGUAAAGCCCUUUUGUUGGGAAAGAAAAGCAGGAGGUUAAUACCCCGCUGUCCUGACGGUACCCAAAGAAUAAGCACCGGCUAACUUCGUG